rnacentral:tRNA from 1 species
UGGACAUUAGUUUACAAAAAACACCUAAUUUCGACUUAGGAAAACUAGUUGAAUGCACUAGAUAUCCAU